rnacentral:rRNA from 1 species
GAUGAACGCUAGCGGCAGGCCUAACACAUGCAAGUCGAGGGGUAUCACACUUUCGGGUGUGAGAGACCGGCGCACGGGUGCGUAACGCGUAUGCAAUCUACCUUUUACAUUGGAAUAGCCCAGAGAAAUUUGGAUUAAUGCCUUAUAGUAUUAUUGAGUGGCAUCAUUUAAUAAUUAAAGAUUUAUCGGUAAAAGAUGAGCAUGCGUCCCAUUAGUUAGUUGGUAAGGUAACGGCUUACCAAGACUAUGAUGGGUAGGGGUCCUGAGAGGGAGAUUCCCCACACUGGUACUGAGACACGGACCAGACUCCUACGGGAGGCAGCAGUGAGGAAUAUUGGACAAUGGGCGCAAGCCUGAUCCAG